UACAGAGACUGCAAGCGUUAUUCGGAUUCACUGGGCGUAAAGGGUGCGCAGGCGGUUGGGUGUGUCAGAUGUGAAAUCCCGAGGCUUAACCUCGGAACUGCGUCUGAAACUACUCGACUAGAGUACUGGAGAGGGAAACGGAAUUCACGGUGUAGCAGUGAAAUGCGUAGAUAUCAGGAGGAACACCGAUGGCGAAGGCAGGUCUCUGGGCUGACACUGACGCUCAUGCACGAAAGCGUGGGGAGCAAACAGG
rnacentral:rRNA from 1 species